rnacentral:rRNA from 1 species
AGCAUAUCAAUAAGCGGAGGAAAAGAAACCAACAGGGAUUGCCCCAGUAACGGCGAGUGAAGCGGCAACAGCUCAAAUUUGAAAUCUGGCUCUCAGGGCCCGAGUUGUAAUUUGUAGAGGAUGCUUUUGGCGAGGUGCCUUCCGAGUUCCCUGGAACGGGACGCCACAGAGGGUGAGAGCCCCGUAUGGUCGGACACCGAGCCUCUGUAAAGCUCCUUCGACGAGUCGAGUAGUUUGGGAAUGCUGCUCAAAAUGGGAGGUAUAUGUCUUCUAAAGCUAAAUAUUGGCCAGAGACCGAUAGCGCACAAGUAGAGUGAUCGAAAGAUGAAAAGCACUUUGAAAAGAGGGUUAAAAAGUACGUGAAAUUGUUGAAAGGGAAGCGCCUAUGACCAGACUUGCGCCCGGUGAAUCACCCAGCGUUCUCGCUGGUGCACUUUGCCGGGCACAGGCCAGCAUCAGUUCAGCGCGGGGGAGAAAGGCUUCGGGAAUGUGGCUCCCUCGGGAGUGUUAUAGCCCGCUGCGUAAUGCCCUGCGCCGGACUGAGGUACGCGCAUUGCAAGGAUGCUGGCGUAAUGGUCAUCAGCGACCCGUCUUGAAACACGGACCAAGGAGUCGUCUUCGUAUGCGAGUGUUCGGGUGUCAAACCCCUACGCGUAAUGAAAGUGAACGCAGGUGAGAGCUUCGGCGCAUCACCGACCGAUCCUGAUGUUCUCGGAUGGAUUUGAGUAAGAGCAUACGGGGCCGGACCCGAAAGAAGGUGAACUAUGCCUGUAUAGGGUGAAGCCAGAGGAAACUCUGGUGGAGGCUCGCAGCGGUUCUGACGUGCGAAUCGAUCGUCAAAUAUGGGCAUGGGGGCGAAAGACUAAUCGA